AGGACGAACGCUGGCGGCGUGCUUAACACAUGCAAGUCGAACGGUGAUCUCGGUGCUUGCACCGGGUGAUCAGUGGCGAACGGGUGAGUAACACGUGAGUAACCUGCCCCCGACUCUGGGAUAACCCCGGGAAAUCGGAGCUAAUACCGGAUACGAGACGCACAGGCAUCUGUAGCGUCUGGAAAGAAUUUCGGUCGGGGAUGGACUCGCGGCCUAUCAGCUAGUUGGUGGGUAACGGCCCACCGAAGGCGACGACGGGUAGCCGGCCUGAGAGGGCGACCGGCCACGACGUGGACUGGAGACGACGCCCAGACUCCGUACGGGACGGCAGCAGUGGGAAUAGUUGCACAGUGGGACGAAAGCCUAGAUGCAGCGACGCCGCGUGGGA
rnacentral:rRNA from 1 species